CUACCUGCAGUCGCACGAGAAAGGGGAGCAAUCCCUGAAGUACAGUGGCGUACGGGUGAGUAACACGUGGAUGAUCUACCUUCUAGUGGGGAAUAACCAUGGGAAACCGUGGCUAAUACCGCAUAAGCUCGAGAGAGGAAAGCAGCAAUGCGCUGGAAGAGGAGUCCGCGGCCGAUUAGCUAGUUGGCAGGGUAAAAGCCUACCAAGGCAGAGAUCGGUAGCCGGCCUGAGAGGGCACACGGCCACACUGGCACUGAAACACGGGCCAGACUCCUACGGGAGGCAGCAGUGGGGAAUCUUGCACAAUGGGGGAAACCCUGAUGCAGCGACGCCGCGUGAGCGAUGAAGCCCUUCGGGGUGUAAAGCUCUUUCGGCAGGGAAGAUUAUGACGGUACCUGCAGAAGCAGCUGCGGCUAACUACGUGCCAGCAGCCGCGGUAAUACGUAGGCAGCGAGCGUUGUUCGGAGUUACUGGGCGUAAAGGGUGUGUAGGCGGUUGUUUAAGUUUGGUGUGAAAUCUCCCGGCUCAACUGGGAGGGUGCGCCGAAUACUGAAUGACUUGGAGUGCGGGAGAGGUGAGUGGAAUUCCUGGUGUAGCGGUGAAAUGCGUAGAUAUCAGGAGGAACACCGGUGGUGUAGACGGCUCACUGGACCGUAACUGACGCUGAGACACGAAAGCGUGGGUAGCAAACAGGAUUAGAUACCCUGGUAGUCCACGCCCUAAACGAUGCAUAUUUGGUGUGGGCAGUUCAUUCUGUCCGUGCCGGAGCUAACGCGUUAAAUAUGCCGCCUGGGGAGUACAGUCGCAAGGCUGAAACUCAAAGGAAUUGACGGGGGCCCGCACAAGCGGU
rnacentral:rRNA from 1 species